rnacentral:tmRNA from 1 species
GGGGGCGAUCCGGUUUCGACGGGAGUGAUUGAGGUCCGUGAGGCAUGCCGGGUUUCCUGACCCGUAAAAAUCGGGAAAGCUAAAAUAGCUGCCAACAACAACCUCGCUCUGGCUGCCUAAUUAAAGGCACCACGGUCACCUCGCCCUCGCCCGUGGGGAGGGGCUGACCGUCAUUCAGCGGGCUGGCUUGCGCGGCUGUCUCCGACGCGCAGGCGAGAAAAAGGGGGCGGGCCGACGGCGAGUUUGCCUGGUAAGAUCGUCGCCGGCGGGAUAGAAACCAGGAUAAGCAUGUAGUUCUCACGCGGCUGAAGAUUCUCGGACGGGGGUUCGAUUCCCCCCGCCUCCACCA